rnacentral:rRNA from 1 species
GGAUGCGAUUACUGCCCGCAUGGGCUGGUGGUGGAAAGGGUUAUGUACUGGUCUUAGAUGGGCUCACGGCCUAUCAGCUGGUUGGUGGGGUAAUGGCCUCCAAGGCGACGACGGGUAGCCGGCCUGAGUGGGUGACCGGCCACACUGGGACUGAGACACGGCCCAGACUCCUACGGGAGGCAGCAGUGGGGAAUAUUGCACAAUGGGCGCAAGCCUGAUGCAGCGACGCCGCGUGAGGGAUGACGGCCUUCGGGUUGUAAACCUCUUUCAGCAGGGAAGAAGCGGAAGACGGUACCUGCAGAAGAAGCGCCGGCUAACUACGUGCCAGCAGCCGCUAAUACGUAGGGCGCAAGCGUUGUCCGGAAUUAUUGGGCGUAAAGAGCGUAGGCGGCUUGUCGCGUCUGCUGUGAAAGCCCGGGGCUUAACUCCGUGUGCAGUGGGUACGGGCAGGCUAGAGUGCAGUAGGGGUAACUGGAAUUCCUGGUGUAGC